AGUGGAUUAGCGGCGGACGGGUGAGUAACACGUGGGUAACCUGCCUCAAAGUGGGGGAUAGCCUUCCGAAAGGAAGAUUAAUACCGCAUAAUAUAAGAGAAUCGCAUGAUUUUUUUAUCAAAGAUUUAUUGCUUUGAGAUGGACCCGCGGCGCAUUAGCUAGUUGGUAAGGUAACGGCUUACCAAGGCAACGAUGCGUAGCCGACCUGAGAGGGUGAUCGGCCACAUUGGAACUGAGACACGGUCCAGACUCCUACGGGAGGCAGCAGUGGGGAAUAUUGCGCAAUGGGGGAAACCCUGACGCAGCAACGCCGCGUGGGUGAUGAAGGUCUUCGGAUUGUAAAGCCCUGUUUUCUAGGACGAUAAUGACGGUACUAGAGGAGGAAGCCACGGCUAACUACGUGCCAGCAGCCGCGGUAAUACGUAGGUGGCGAGCGUUGUCCGGAUUUACUGGGCGUAAAGGGUGCGUAGGCGGAUGUUUAAGUGGGAUGUGAAAUCCCCGGGCUUAACCUGGGGGCUGCAUUCCAAACUGGAUAUCUAGAGUGCAGGAGAGGAAAGCGGAAUUCCUAGUGUAGCGGUGAAAUGCGUAGAGAUUAGGAAGAACACCAGUGGCGAAGGCGGCUUUCUGGACUGUAACUGACGCUGAGGCACGAAAGCGUGGGUAGCAAACAGGAUUAGAUACCCUGGUAGUCCACGCCGUAAACGAUGGAUACUAGGUGUAGGGGGUAUCAACUCCCCCUGUGCCGCAGUUAACACAAUAAGUAUCCCGCCUGGGGAGUACGGUCGCAAGAUUAAAACUCAAAGGAAUUGACGGGGGCCCGCACAAGCAGCGGAGCAUGUGGUUUAAUUCGAAGCAACGCGAAGAACCUUACCUGGACUUGACAUCCCUUGCAUAGCCUAGAGAUAGGUGAAGCCCUUCGGGGCAAGGAGACAGGUGGUGCAUGGUUGUCGUCAGCUCGUGUCGUGAGAUGUUAGGUUAAGUCCUGCAACGAGCGCAACCCUUGUUAUUAGUUGCUACCAUUAAGUUGAGCACUCUAAUGAGACUGCCUGGGUAACCAGGAGGAAGGUGGGGAUGACGUCAA
rnacentral:rRNA from 1 species